GAAAAGAAACUAACAAGGAUUCCCCUAGUAACGGCGAGUGAAGAGGGAAGAGCUCAAAUUUGAAAUCUGACAGCCCACGGUUGUCCGAGUUGUAAUCUAGAGAAGUGUUUUCCGCACUGGACCGUGUACAAGUCCUUUGGAACAAGGCGUCAUAGAGGGUGAGAAUCCCGUCUACGACACGGACUACCAGUGCUUUGUGAUACACUCUCAACGAGUCGAGUUGUUUGGGAAUGCAGCUCAAAAUGGGUGGUAAAUUCCAUCUAAAGCUAAAUAUGGGCGAAAGACCGAUAGCGAACAAGUACCGUGAGGGAAAGAUGAAAAGCACUUUGGAAAGAGAGUUAAACAGUACGUGAAAUUGUUGAAAGGGAAACGCUUGAAGUCAGUCGCGUCUUCAGAAAUUCAGCCUGACUUCUGUCUGGUGUACUUUUCUGUUGGACGGGCCAGCAUCGGUUUUGGCUGCCAGAGAAAGGUGAGGGGAAGGUGGCACCUCCGGGUGUGUUAUAGCCCCUUAUCGUAUGUGGCAGCUGGGACUGAGGACUGCAGCACGCCUUCAUGGCCGGGGUUCGCCCACGUAACGUGCUUAGGAUGCUGGCGUAAUGGCUUUAAGCGACCCGUCUUGAAACACGGACCAAGGAGUCUAACAUGCCUGCGAGUAUUUGGGUGGCAAACCCAUAUGCGGAAUGAAAGUGAACAGUUGGGACUUCUAUCAUGGAAGGCACCGACGCCCGGACCAGAUCUACUGUGACGGAUCCGAGGUAGAGCAUGUAUGUUGGGACCCGAAAGAUGGUGAACUAUGCCUGAGUAGGGUGAAGCCAGAGGAAACUCUGGUGGAGGCUCGUAGCGAUUCUGACGUGCAAAUCGAUCGUCGAACUUGGGUAUAGGGGCGAAAGACUAAUCGAAC
rnacentral:rRNA from 1 species